rnacentral:sRNA from 1 species
GCUGGGCGUGGUGGCUCACGCCUGUAAUCCAAGCACUUUGGAGGCCAAGGCGGGCGGAUCACCUGAGGUCGGGAGUUCAAGACCAGCCUGACCAACAUGGUGAAACCCUAUUUAAAAAAAAAAAUCCAAUUGGCUAAUAACUUACAACUUCUCUUUGCUUUUUUUUUUUAAAGCUGGGGUUUCACCAUGAUGGCCGGGCUGGUCUUGAACUCCUGACCUCAGGUGAUCCACCCACCUC